UAAGGAAUAUUGCUCAAUGGGAGAAAUCCUGAAGCAGCAACGCCGCGUGGAGGAUGAAGGGUCUAUGACUUGUAAACUCCUGUAAAGAAGGAAAAAAUUCCCAUUAGAUGGGAGAUGAUGGUACUUCUGGAGUAAGCCCCGGCUAACUACGUGCCAGCAGCCGCGGUAAUACGUAGGGGGCAAGCGUUGUCCGGAUUUACUGGGUGUAAAGGGUGCUCAGGCGGAUUUGUAAGUCAGAGGUGAAAUCUUACAGCUUAACUGUGAAACUGCCUUUGAUACUGCAAGCCUAGAGUAUGGAAGAGAGUGAUGGAAUAUCUGGUGUAGCAGUGAAAUGCGUAGAUAUCAGAUAGAACACCAAUGGCGAAGGCAGUCACUUGGUCCAUUACUGACGCUAAAGCACGAGAGCGUGGGUAGCAAACA
rnacentral:rRNA from 1 species